rnacentral:rRNA from 1 species
GAUGGCGACCGGCGCACGGGUGAGUAACACGUAUCCAACCUGCCGAUGACUCGGGGGAUAGCCUUUUCGAAAGAAAGAUUAAUACCCGAUGGCAUAGUUCUUCCGCAUGGUGGAACUAUUAAAGAAUUUCGGUCAUCGAUGGGGAUGCGUUCCAUUAGGUUGUUGGCGGGGUAACGGCCCACCAAGCCUUCGAUGGAUAGGGGUUCUGAGAGGAAGGUCCCCCACAUUGGAACUGAGACACGGUCCAAACUCCUACGGGAGGCAGCAUG